ACGGGUGAGUAACGCGUGGGUGACCUGCCUUCGAGUGGGGGAUAACGUCCCGAAAGGGACGCUAAUACCGCAUGACAUCCUGCCUUUGAACAGGCGGAGAUCAAAGUCGGGGAUCGCAAGACCUGGCGCUUGGAGAGGGGCCCGCGCUCGAUUAGCUAAUUGGUGGGGUAACGGCUCACCAAGGCGACGAUCGAUAGCCGGCCUGAGAGGGCGGACGGCCACACUGGGACUGAGACACGGCCCAGACUCCUACGGGAGGCAGCAGUGGGGAAUUGUUCGCAAUGGGCGCAAGCCUGACGACGCAACGCCGCGUGGAGGAUGAAGAUCUUCGGGUCGUAAACUCCUGUCGACCGGGACGAAACGUUCGGGGGUGAAUAAUCUCCGGACUUGACGGUACCGGUGGAGGAAGCCCCGGCUAACUCCGUGCCAGCAGCCGCGGUAAUACGGGGGGGGCAAGCGUUGUUCGGAAUUACUGGGCGUAAAGGGCUCGUAGGCGGCUGCCUAAGUCGGACGUGAAAUCCCACGGCUCAACCGUGGAACUGCGUCCGGUACUGGGCAGCUUGAAUCCAAGAGAGGGAUGCGGAA
rnacentral:rRNA from 1 species